GACCUCAGAUCAGGCAAGGCUACCCGCUGUAUUUAAGCAUAUUAAUAAGCGGAGGAAAAGAAACUACAGGAUU
rnacentral:rRNA from 1 species